GCUUGUCUCAAAGAUUAAGCCAUGCAUGUCUUAGUGUAAAUAACUCUUAUGAAACUGCGAAUGGCUCAUUAAAUCAGUUAUCGUUUAUUUGAUGGUCCCUUACUACAUGGAUAACCGUAGUAAUUCUAGAGCUAAUACAUGCGUCAAGUCCCUACCGCGCGAGCGGGAAGGAUGUGUUUAUUAGAUAAAAACCAAUGCCUCGUGCUUUUGGUGAGUCAUGAUAACUGCGCGGAUCGCAUGGCCUUGCGCCGGCGACGCUUCAUUCAAAUUUCUGCCCUAUCAACUUUCGAUGGUAAGAUAGAGGCUUACCAUGGUGUUAACGGGUAACGGGGAAUUGGGGUUCGAUUCCGGAGAGGGAGCCUGAGAAAUGGCUACCACUUCCAAGGAAGGCAGCAGG
rnacentral:rRNA from 1 species